rnacentral:lncRNA from 1 species
UGAAAGCUGGUUCCAGAUGGCAUCCCAGGAAGGCAAGCCAGGGGCAAGAAACCCCAGCCGCCGAGGACCCGAGUUUCCUGCAGACCCUCCUGCUGGCCUUGCCCACCGUGUGCAAAUCCUAGAGGGAGCCUAGAGCUGAGUCCCAGCCCCAGCUGGAGUGCUGGAUGCUGGAACAAGAGGUCCAUUUUAUUCUCUUCACAAUGCCCCAUUGUGCCCUUCUGCAGGGAGGACAAUGUUACCACCGCAAGGGGAAGCUGAGGACAAAGGGCCCUUUGUGAGGAUGGUCCCCACCUGAGUGACAGCACCCAGGGUCACACCUGAUGGCAGAGCAGUUCUUCCUCUCUUUCCAUCCCCUGCACAGCUCCCAGAAAUAAUCUGGGGAAGUUGUGCAGACUUUAGCUGCCCUCCCCAAAUGUCUCUGCUGGCCCAUCCCACGCCUGGCACAUGCCAGUGAGGAGAGGCAGGGGUAGGGGUUCCUAUUGAAGGAUCUGGAUACAGCAUACACAGGUGUAACCGGUUCUUCAGUCUCUAAAAUUCUGAGACCUUGGGCAGAUGCUGGCCUGUGGGAGGCCUGGCAGGUGGGAAGUAUUUGUAAUAUCCAUUGCAACGUCUGUAAUGGGGCAUACUCACAGCUGGGCUCCCAAGGGAGUGUUUCUGAAGAGAAAGAAAAGGAAACUUAAAAAAAAAAAA